GUGAGGAAUUUUCCGCAAUGGGCGAAAGCCUGACGGAGCAAUGCCGCGUGAAGGAUGAAGGCCUAUGGGUUGUAAACUUCUUUUCUCAGAAAAGAAUUAUGACGGUAUCUGAGGAAUAAGCAUCGGCUAACUCUGUGCCAGCAGCCGCGGUAAGACAGAGGAUGCAAGCGUUAUCCGGAAUGAUUGGGCGUAAAGCGUCUGUAGGUUGUUUAAAAAGUAUUCUGUCAAAGAUUAGGGCUUAACCCUAGAUAGGCAGAAUAAACUUUUAAGCUAGAGUUUGGUAGAGGCAGAGGGAAUCCCCGGUGGAGCGGUGAAAUGCGUAGAUAUCGGGAGGAACACCAAAGGCGAAGGCACUCUGCUGGGCCAAUACUAACACUGAGAGACGAAAGCGAGCGGAGCAAAUGGGAUUAGAAACCCCUGUAGUCC
rnacentral:rRNA from 1 species